rnacentral:rRNA from 1 species
CAGUAGCCGCGGGAAUACGGAGGGUGCAAGCGUUACUCGGAAUCACUGGGCGUAAAGGACGCGUAGGCGGAUUAUCAAGUCUCUUGUGAAAUCUAACGGCUCAACCGUUAAACUGCUUGGGAAACUGAUAAUCUAGAGUAAGGGAGAGGCAGAUGGAAUUCUUGGUGUAGGGGUAAAAUCCGUAGAUAUCAAGAAGAAUACCUAUUGCGAAGGCGAUCUGCUGGAACUUAACUGACGCUAAUGCGUGAAAGCGUGGGGAGCAAACAGGAUUAGAUACCCCCGUAGUCCCUGUCUCUUAUAU